AGAGGCGCCCAGGCUAGAAGGGCCCGGCUCUUGGCCCUCGCUGUCCUGCCCGCUGUCGCCGCUCUUUGGCGCCCCCGCAACAGCUCCCUCUCAGCAGGACGCGGAAAGGUCAGGGUCCCUCUCUCUCGUAUAUACCACAAAGAAAGCGCGUUCCCCGCGGCGCCCCGAGAGCCCUUAGGCAGACGUCCCGCAGAGUCCCAAGUCCCUACGGUGGGCCCGCGGGCUCCUGAUCUGUCCAGGCCCCUAAACUAUCACAAGGAGGAUAUUUGAUGACCGUCUUUCUUCCCUCGCUCUCUCCCAACAAAGGGUAACUGACCUCUCGCGUGACCUGGCCAGCGCUGAGAUUCCCUCAACACGCUUUCCCCCUAUUGUGUGCAGACCCCCACAGGGCGGAGGCGAGCGGCGCGACCCACUGGACGGACGCGGCCCGGAGCUCCAGGCGCCCGGACCUGGCGGGCCCUCCCUGGGCGGGCGGGUGGCGCGUCGCCCGCCGCCGAUCCGGGCGGGGUGAGGGGGGCGCUGUAAUUGCAGCGCAGCUCGGGUUCCCACGCUCCUAUUGUUGGCGACUUUGUUUCCAAUUCCCAUCACGUGUGCUAAUUAGUUAGCGCUGCUGGCUGGCUGGGAGGCGUGUGGCUGGCCUAAAAGCAGAAAGAUCACUUCCUGUAGGGAGCCGGGCCGGCUGAAUACUACUGGGGCUUCUUUUUCUCUCCUCCUCUGCGCCUCCUUCUUGGCCUCCCGGGAGGGUGGGAGAGGGAAGGGAAGGGGAAGAAAUGCUGGUUGCGGAACAAAUGCCACUGAAUUGCAAUAACAACCAAAAAGCUGGGGUUAGGGGGUAGGUUGGGGAAUGGAAGGGGGAGAGUAAGAGCGGGGAAUAGCGGAAAAAACAGGAUUAAAUGAGAGAUUCACAUUAGAUCUCUAAUGCUUUACAAAAUGCCGUUCACAAUUUUGAUCAGUUAAUCUCGUCAAGACUGGGAUGAUGGAGGAAUUUUUUCAUUUCCUCCAUUCAUGUUCAGUUUUUAAAAAUCUGUCUUUACCCUCUGAGUAAAGCAAGCACAAGCAUCAUGGUACACUAGGAAAAGAGAAAAAAAGUGAAGCGAGUCAUGACUUUUGAGUCAGUGACUUGCCCCUGGACCUAAGCUUCUGAGUUCUAUUCAUUUUGGCACUACACUUUUAGAAGGGGUGCAGUGAAGUGUCAGAGACUAACGGAGGAUGGUAGUAAGUUUGAAAAAUAUACAUGGGCCCAUUACAAGAAAAUGGUGCUAUGUUUUUUGGCUUCUUGUUGGGCUGCAAGAUUUAGGAAGGCUCUGAUUCUCCUUAUGGAAGUCUCUACUUUGAAGGUACCAUGAUAUCCAUACUUCCCUACAAAUGAGAGGAAAGUGGGCAUUUAUAAGAACUCACCUUAUAAGUGGUGGCAAUAAGGGAGGAGAUUUUGUCCUUUCUUUUGGAAAGUGGUGGAGGAAUGAGGUCAAGAGUAACUCCAUUCAACAUGCAUUUAGCAAGGAUGCUUUGAGCAUCUCCUAUGCGCUAGGCACUGGGCUAGGGCUAGAGGCAGAGAGAUAAAACAUCCAGAACCUAUCCUUAAGUAGCUUACAAAUCUAGUUGAGGAGACAGGUAUGUAUGCAGAGCAACAAUUAAGGAUGACUCAGAAAUGGAGGUCUGUACUUGAGACUAUGAGGCCAGAGAAGGGCCACAGACCCAGGCAGGGCAAUUUGGGAAACUUUCUGGAGAAGGGAUGAUUCAUUUAUCUGACACUUACAUGACAAGUAACAAUCGUCCAAGAGAAGAAGGGAGGAAAGGGCAUUCCAAAAAGAGAAGUAGCAGAGUGUACAAAAGGCCACCGGGUCAGUGACGGAGUAUGAGGCACUCUGCAAGCAGUUGUGCCCAGCGGCAGCACAGGGCUCCAGGGGUAGGCGUGGAUGAGCCAGAGAGACAGGAACCAUGAAAAGUCUUGUUGAGGAGUUUGGACUUUAUCCUAACAGACCUAAAGCAAAGGAGCAAAAUAAUUAAAUUUGUCUUUUAGAAAGAUUACUUGGGCA
rnacentral:lncRNA from 10 species